rnacentral:rRNA from 1 species
AUUGAACGCUGGCGGCAUGCCUUACACAUGCAAGUCGAACGGCAGCGGGGGAGAAGCUUGCUUUUCCUGCCGGCGAGUGGCGAACGGGUGAGUAAUACAUCGGAACGUGCCCUGUAGUGGGGGAUAACUAGUCGAAAGAUUAGCUAAUACCGCAUACGACCUGAGGGUGAAAGUGGGGGACCGCAAGGCCUCAUGCUAUAGGAGCGGCCGAUGUCUGAUUAGCUAGUUGGGGGGGUAAAGGCCUACCAAGGCAACGAUCAGUAGCUGGGCUGGAAGGACGAUCAGCCACACUGGGAAUGAGACACGGACAAGACGCCGACGGGAGGCAGCAGUGGGGAAUUUUGGACAAUGGUCGAAAGCCUGAUCCAGCAAUGCCGCGUGUGUGAAGAAGGCCGUCGGGUUGUAAAGCCCUUUUGUCGGGAAAGAAAUGGCUCUGGUUAAUACCUGGGGUCGAUGACGGUACCGGAAGAAUGAGGACCGGCUAACUACGUGCCAGCCGCCGCCGUAACAC